rnacentral:rRNA from 1 species
AACGAACGCUGGCGGCAUGCCUAACACAUGCAAGUCGAACGGGAUCCUGGCUUCGGUCAGGUGAGAGUGGCGGACGGGUGAGUAACGCGUGGGAACCUGCCCAGUGGUGGGGGAUAACUGCGGGAAACUGCAGCUAAUACCGCAUGAGCCCGAGAGGGGAAAGAUUUAUCGCCAUUGGAGGGGCCCGCGUUCGAUUAGGUAGUUGGUGAGGUAACGGCUCACCAAGCCGACGAUCGAUAGCUGGUCUGAGAGGAUGAUCAGCCACACUGGGACUGAGAUACGGCCCAGACUCCUACGGGAGGCAGCAGUGGGGAAUAUUGGACAAUGGGCGAAAGCCUGAUCCAGCAAUGCCGCGUGAGUGAUGAAGCCUUAGGGUUGUAAAGCUCUUUUACCCGGGAUGA